GACAGAGGGUGCGAACGUUGUUCGGAAUUACUGGGCGUAAAGCGCAUGUAGGCGGCAGCGCAAGUCGGGCGUGAAAUCCCACGGCUCAACCGUGGAAGUGCACUCGAAACUGCGCAGCUAGAGUCCUGGAGAGGAAGGUGGAAUGCUUGGUGUAGAGGUGAAAUUCGUAGAUAUCAAGCGGAACACCGGUGGCGAAGGCGGCCUUACUGGGACAGUGGACUGACGCUGAGAUGCGAAAAGCAUGGGGAGCGAACGAGGAA
rnacentral:rRNA from 1 species